CCGGUCUCCACCCACUGCACCAUCCACUGCAAUCAGCCCACAGCGACCUCGAAAACUCAGCUGAAACAAAAAAAUGAUAGCAAGUCCUCCAUAAAGGGGCCGCUGCAAAGCAAAACACGUUCCAGAAUUUAUGAGGCAACACCUGAAUAUACCGUGAAGUCCUCGUUCCUAUGAGUACGAAACAAACAGACAGCAAAGACGACAACGGCAAAGACGACAACGGCAGAGACUCUCAGCGUAGUAACAGUUCAUUGGUAUGACGAGCCCUCAGAGAUUUACUCGCCACACGGAAUAUCUACCCUUAUGAAGUGGAAAGCAAUUUAAUUUUAAAGCCAGCCCUCUUCCCGGAGCUUCGGCUCUUAAUUGGAAACCUGUAUCCUAACAGUGUCUUUGGAAAACCUACCGCGAGCACAAGACUAUUUCUUUCGAUCGGGUGAUUAAGUUAAAUGCAAAGACUUAUAAUCCCCCAGACAGACUCCGGCAUGUCUUCCAGCCCCGGUCGAUUUACUGUGCCAUCAUACAGAUCAUAAAAACAAGAGACAAAGGGCAAACAAAAACUUGGCAUCUCUUAUGAAUAAUGCAGGAACGCCUCCAGACAGUUAUUAAGAACAGGCACCCUUCCUAAGAGAUUCAUCCACAUCGGGGCCAGGAGUGCAUCAGUUGUAGCCUGUGAGAGCCUCAAAUUUUGAUCUUUAUUAAUUGCAUCUCUAACCUGCCGACGUCUGUGGGUUUUACCAGUCGGAGCCCGGCGACAGAGUGAUGUUUUUUCAGAGGCAAAGUGCUUUGAGAGAGCUGCGUCCGUCCUUGAACGGUCCGCCUCUCACAGAGGACCACAAACAUUCUGCAGAGGUGGAGAGAAAGGUGUGACAUUCAGUAAAGGUGAUGGACCAGCGGGUGGAGAGGUUAUGGAAGGCGUCAGGACACCCAGGGCGAGGGCGGCUGCUCUGACCGUGGACCAGGUCGUCAUUAGGAUGCAGACAGACGCAUGUUCACCAAAUGGACUACGGAGGCAGGUAAAGUGAUUCUGAAUUGAUUUGAUUGAUGCGACAAUCAAUCCGUCGCCCAGAAUAUUACUGUAGCCUUUAUUCUGCAGAGUCGAGUGUGGUGAUGUGAUGUCUG
rnacentral:lncRNA from 1 species